GCCAGCCACCUCAGGCCGGGAUGCCAACUUCCUGGAGGAAGAGAGGCUUCUAAGAGAGUACCCUCAGUCCUUUGAGAAAGGGGUACCCUACCUGGAGUUCCGCUACAAGACCCGAGUCUACAAACAGACCAACCUGGAUGAGAAACAGCUGGCCAAACUGCACACGAAGACGGGGUUGAAGAAGUUCCUUGAAUAUGUGCAGCUCGGGACGUCUGACAAGGUGGCGAGGCUGCUGGACAAGGGGCUGGACCCCAAUUACCACGACUCAGAUUCAGGAGAGACACCUUUGACCCUGGCGGCCCAGACUGAAGGCUCAGUAGAGGUGAUUCGGACGCUGUGCCUGGGCGGGGCGCACAUAGACUUCAGGG
rnacentral:lncRNA from 1 species